GGUUUUUUACUGAUCACUUUCACCACCAAGCUGAGUUAUUGUGAGAAACAGACGCAAAAUCGCAAGAUGAUUAAUGCACAUUGGAGAGUAAAACGCGCCACUAACUGCUCCACUGGGGUCAUAACAGAAAACAAUACCAGAGAACCAGAUCUACCCGCAAGAUAUACAGAGAAGGAGCUGGAUUUAUGUUUGGAUAAGGAAGUGCUGUCUAAAAAGCUUUCUGAACUGGGAAAUAUAGCUUUUAGUACUCCUCAACUUAA